rnacentral:rRNA from 1 species
GACGAACGCUGGCGGCGUGCCUAACACAUGCAAGUCGAACGAUGACGGCCGAGCUUGCUCCGCUGGAUGAGUUGCGAACGGGUGAGUAACGCGUAGGUAACCUGCCCGGUAGCGGGGGAUAACUACUGGAAACGAUAGCUAAUACCGCAUAAGAGCAGCUGUUGCAUGACAUUUGCUGGAAAGGUGCAAUUGGAAGACUACGAGAGGGGCCUGCGUUGUUUUGGCUAGUUGGUGGGGUAACGGCGCCCCUAGGCGAGGACACAGAGCCGACCGGCGAGGGGGGGCGGCCACCCUGGGAGUGAGACACGCCCCAGUCGCCUACGGGAGGCAGCAGUACUGCAUCUGCGGCCAUGGGCGGAAAUCAGUCCACGCAACGCCGCGGGAGGGUGGAAGGAUUUCGGGUCGUGAAUCUCGGUUGUCAGGUAGGAACGAGUGUUAGAGUGGAAAGUUGACACUGUGACGGUACCUUACCAGAAAGCGACGGCUAACUACGUG